rnacentral:rRNA from 1 species
UACGUAGGGUGCGAGCGUUGUCCGGAAUUAUUGGGCGUAAAGAGCUUGUAGGCGGUCUGUCGCGUCUGCUGUGAAAAUCCGGGGCUCAACCGCAGACGGUCGUGGGAAACUGGAAGGCUAGAGUGCGGGAGAGGAAAGUCGGAAUUCCGGUGUAGCGGUGAAAUGCGCAGAUAUCGGGAAGAACACCCGUGGCGAAGGCGGCUCUCUGGAACGCAACUGACGCUGAGACGCGAAAGCGUGGGGAGCAAACAGGG